rnacentral:rRNA from 1 species
CCCUUAGAUGUCCUGGGCCGCACGCGCGCUACAAUGACUCACUCAGAAAGUUUUUCCUGAUCCGGAAGGAUUCGGGUAAUCUUCAUAGCAUGAGUCGUGUUAGGGAUCGAUCUUUGCAAUUAUAGAUCUUGAACGAGGAAUGCCUAGUAAGUGCAGCUCAUCAGGCUGUACUGAUUACGUCCCUGCCCUUUGUACACACCGCCCGUCGCUCCUACCGAUUGAGUGGUCCGGUGAACCUUCUGGAUUAAGCAGCAAUGCUCGAGAAGUUAGGUAAACCUUAUCACUUAGAGGAAGGAGAAGUCGUAACA